rnacentral:rRNA from 1 species
AUUGAACGCUGGCGGCAGGCCUAACACAUGCAAGUCGAACGAGUGGCGGACGGGUGAGUAAUGUCUGGGAAACUGCCUGAUGGAGGGGGAUAACUACUGGAAACGGUAGCUAAUACCGCAUACCAUCAGAUGUGCCCAGAGGGGAUUAGCUAGUUGGUGGGGUAACGGCUCACCAAGGCGACGAUCCCUAGCUGGGCUGAGAGGAUGACCAGCAAAACUGGAACUGAGCCACGGUCCAGACUCCUACGGGAGGCAGAAGUGGGAAAUAUUGCACAAGGGGCGCAAGCCUGAGGCAGCCAUGCCGAGUGUAUGAAAGAGGCCUUCGGGUUGUAAAGUACUUUCAGCGGGGAGGCGUUACCCGCAGAAGAAGCACCGGCUAACUCCGUGCCAGCAGCCGCGGUAAUAC